GAUGAACGCUGGCGGCGUGCCUAAUACAUGCAAGUCGAGCGAACGGACGAGAAGCUUGCUUCUCUGAUGUUAGCGGCGGACGGGUGAGUAACACGUGGAUAACCUACCUAUAAGACUGGGAUAACUUCGGGAAACCGGAGCUAAUACCGGAUAAUAUUUUGAACCGCAUGGUUCAAAAGUGAAAGACGGUCUUGCUGUCACUUAUAGAUGGAUCCGCGCUGCAUUAGCUAGUUGGUAAGGUAACGGCUUACCAAGGCAACGAUGCAUAGCCGACCUGAGAGGGGGAUCGGCCACACUGGAACGGAGACCCGGCCCAGCCCCCGACGGGGGGCGGAAGUGGGGAUUCUUCCAGAAGGGGCGAAAGCCGGACGGGCCACCGCGGGGUGAGGGAUAAAGGUCUUGGGAUCUAAAAACUUUGUUAUUGGGAAAAAAAAUAUGUGAAAGAAACUGUACACAUCUUGACGGUACCUAAUAAGAAACCCACGCCAACCUCCGUC
rnacentral:rRNA from 1 species